ACGGUUGUAGGUUAGUGGUAAACCCAUCGUCUUCCAAACGAAUAUCACCGGUUCGAGUCCGGUCAGCCGUA